GUGAAGAAAGCCCCUCCCUUUGCUCCACUUUCAGGUGUGGAAAUGGCCUGUAGCCUGCAGGAGCCUGAGGAGAAGAGAGGAGCUAGCAGCCCCAGUCAAGUCUAGCGAAGUGCAUCUUGGCCUGCAGUGAUGGCUGUUUCCCCCAGAAAGUUCUUCCACUUCUGGAUCCCACCUCGACUGAACCUUACACAAUCUACUGCUGGACUUUCCAAUGGCAUGAGUUGGUAAAUCAUCUCAUUUUUGCAAAAGCAAGUGUAACUUGAGUUUCCAUCACUUGCAGCUGAGAGAACACUUGUUCUUGAAUUUUAUCCACAAUGAGGUGCUGGAUGUUUUCUGUUUGCCCCAUGAACUCACUCUCUGCCUUCCCUGUCUUGCUGUCUACCCUUAUUGGUUCUUUUUUCCUUUCUGCUUUGGUUUCCAGUUGGCUCUGGCCAAUGAUAGAAGACGAUAAAAG
rnacentral:lncRNA from 10 species